CGCUCGAUAGAACGCCUCCUCCUCUUCCACCUCAGUCUUCCGCCCGUUCUAGGGUUUACGCGCGCCGCAUUGCCGCUAGGGCUUCGGACGAGCUCCCAGGAGAUGCUCCUCACUAGGUGGGUCCUUGUUCGAUUUGGUUCGAUGGUUGAAACACGUGGAUUUUGUGGUUGGUGGAAGGACGGAGUAUGACCGAGGCGUCAAGACUUUUCUCCGCUGAGGGAAGGUUGUCUCAGGUGGAAUGCGCCAUCAAGUUGGGGUCGACUGCGAUCGCACUGAAGACGAAAGAGUGCGUCGUGCUCGCAGUUGAGUAGCGCAUCACUUCAGCUCUGUUGGCACGUUUUCACCUUUUCCUGUUGGUCUAACUAAAAGAAUUGGAAGUCUCAAACAGGGACUCUUCUUCAUUCUGAAAGUUCAUAUUACGUAUGUUGCAAGCUAAGUUUGAACUCUUUGGUCUGGAUCGGGAUGCAUCAACGAAUUACCUAUAAAAAUGUAGAAUCCUUUGAAGAAUAAGGAAUGAUAAAGCAUUGUAUGCCUGUGACAUUUAUGUGCCUAUAAAUCUGGUUUUGUGUGACUAUAUGUUCAUGUGCUAAGUGAAUCCAUAUUUGCCAAUGGCUGAGUGAUAAAAGGUUGGCAUGUGACACCUAAACCUUCACACUACUGAUGCUUGAAUCCCAGUGGUAAAAACAGACGGUGCAUUGAGCUCCAAUAAUAGUUAGAUGACACCUUACAAUGAAUGAAACUAUUGCAGCUAGGCUUCCAUAGGAUUAGUGGCAUUGGUCACAUUUACUUAAGUUGUGCUAUUCAAGAAAAAUAUGAGGCUGUCCAAGUUCACCUAUUGUUAGCAAGAAAAAUACUUCGUGAACUGUGCAAGUUCACCUAUUGUUAGCAUGGUGCAAUCAGCUUUUGUUAAAAGCAUUUUCCUUACGAUCUCUUGCAAAUUUGAUGAUUCGGGAAAUCUUUAUCAGAUACGUUUUUCUUGUAUCCUGGGUGUCAUUUAGAGAGCCCAUAUAACAACCAGUCAAUUGGAGGUUGAGGGUGGAAUUAUCUGUGUCCUGCUGGUUGAGUUUUAGUAGAAUUUGUGCUAGUCAAAUACUUUCAGUGAGCUGCUUGAUGAAUGUGGUCCAAUAGGAAGUGUCCUGUAUCCUGAUUGGGUUCUAUGUGUUACCUUACUGUUAUAAAAUUAAAAUUUGAAGCUUGUAUGUAAUCUUUGUAUGUCUUUGUUCCAAGCUAUUCGACUUUGUUUCACUACCUAUUGCAUUACAGAAACCAAGCAGUCUAGAAAAGGUUAUGGAGAUUGACGAGCACAUAAGAUGUGCUGACCAAAAUGCUUAAGCUGAAGUUGAUAGUAGUACACUCAUCAAACCCUUAUAAGCUAAUCUUAAUCUUGCCCACUUUCGAUGUGGGACUAAUCAGGAAUGUUACAAUCACCCCCACUCAAAGGCUUAACGUCCUCGUCAAGCCCCAACAUAACCCAGAUUAGGCCUACUCGAGCCCCCUCACCAUGCCCAAAUGCUAGGUCGGCUCUGAUACCAAAUGUCAUGACCCGAGCCUGAUGGGCUAACUAGCCUAUCAACUUCGUUUGGUCUAAACCACUGACCAAAAUGCUUAAGCUGAAGUUGAUAGUAGUACACUCAUCAGACCCUUAUAAGUCAAUCUUAAUCUUAUCCACUUUCGAUGUGGGACUAAUCAGGGAUGUUACAUGUGCUGAGUGGUUUGAUAGUGGAUGCCUGCACUCUUGUUGAGCAUGCACGUGUUGAAACCCAAGUGUUGUUCACAUAACACUUUUUUGAUAAUAAAGUAGUUCAUGUCUUAACUGCUCUUUACGAGAAGUAACUAGUUGGCUGAAUUUGUUUAGUUUAGGGAUAUCAACCACUUCUCUCCGAGUUACUCUUAGGCUUUGCACAAACAGCAAAUACAAUUAAAAUUUUAAAAUAUAUAAAUACUGUUGAAUUCAAACUUAACCUUAUUUGAGACUCUGGUCUAUUCCACUGUUCAAUAUUUGAGACAAGACCCUAAUAGUUUUGGAUUGCAUAAUCAAAUAGUGUAAGCAUACUGGUAGUAUGUAUAUGUCGACAGUUUCUUUUCAAGUAUAAGAUGAUUAUGUAUGCAAAAGUUCUUCAAUCAUGUUUUAGAGAUUGCAGCACAUUCUGAAGCAUGUCAUGAAUGUCUUUUCAUCAAAAAAUGGCAUCCAUGAAUCCACGGUUGUGUUAAAUAAAACUGCAUUAUGUAAUUGGGAACCAUUACACAGUUGGAAAGGAUUCGUUGGUCAACCUUGUUAGUGUGAAGGUGCUUCCCAUUAAUUCUGUCAAUGAGAAUGCAGUGUGUAUGAUUUUCUUUUUUAAUGCAAUGAAUCUGUGUUUUCAUAUAUGAAUAAAUCAGUAUUCAAGUCAAUUACCACAAUUUGCAUUCCUACGUCUUCUGCUUGACCAUUCACCACUUAAAACUUUGUUGGUAAAUGAAGCUGUUACCUUUAUCUAUAGCAUCAUGCUCCUCCUUUUUUUUCUUUUUGCUUAAAUAAGUAGCGCAUGCAGAUAUUUCACUGAUCCAUCUGGCACAUUUUUGGCAAUGCAAUGCAAAAGUUAUAGGUUCUGGUUCUGAAGGAGCGGAUAGUUGUUUGCAAGAGCAAUAUAACAAGGACCUAACUCUUCAACUAGCUGAAACGACAGCUCUUUCCAUACUGAAGCAAGUGAUGGAAGAAAAAGUAACACCAAACAAUGUUGAUGUUGUGAAGGUGGCUCCUUUUUAUAUUAUUCUCCUUCCGAGGUGGAAGCUGUCAUCAAUCGGCUCAGAUACCUGACUUGAUUCCCUUGUAUUCCUUCAUAGAAGGCAUUAUCUUAGACAAACAUUUAUUGUCUUCUGAUCAUUAUUUCGUUUACACUGCAUUUUCUUCUGCUUUGGCCUACCGGAUGUACUUAUUUUUUCGUUGCCUUUAUUGUUCACAAUUAAUCAUAUUAGAUGUUUAUGUACACUAGAAAGUUAAAUCUUCCUCAUAUGAUCUGUUGUUUGUGGUCUAGGUAAUAUAAUUGGAUCUCUGAUGAAUUGGAUUGUGCAACUACCUCAACAAAUAGCCUUCCCAUUGGUUGGGGCAUUGUCGACUGGAAUAGUUUGUAUGGUAGCUUUGAGAUGAUCCAGCAAUUCAUGGAAUUGCUGAAAAAGGAAGAAAAAGGAAGCAUCCAAAGCAAUCAACAUGUUAAGCUUGUUCUAGGUGAUACCUUCCUAAAUGCCAUGAUACAUCUUCAACUCAAUGCCUCUCCAUUUUCUCUUCCCCUUUCUCCUUUUCUAGAGAUCGUUUCUUUUCCAUGCUGAUAACAACAUCUCCAAAAGUGAUACAUUGCAUUUGGAUCAAAUGCCUUCUCUCUCAGAAUCAAAGUGCAUUCAACAAAGGUUACAUUCCAAUCACUGUACAUGGAAGAAAAAUACCUGGGUUCUUGUCUUCUCAUAUGGGUCAAACCCAUGGUUGAAUUCAUUGUACUUGCAACGACAGGUUUGUAGUGGUCAAAAAGAUCUUGUGCUCAUAUUCUUGAAUUGUAUUUGAGAUGGCAAUUUCAAUUCGAACUGUUGUGCACUACUCAUGUUAGGGUCAUGGAUUGUAUGGGUCAAACCCAUGUUAUGGUCAUGCAUCCAAGGUUGACUUCACUGUAGGAUGGCAAUUUCAAUUUUACCUGCACUACUCUUG